GAUGAAGAACGUAGCGAAAUGCGAUAAGUAGUGUGAAUUGCAGAAUUCAGUGAAUCAUCGAAUCUUUGAACGCACAUUGCGCCCGCCAGUAUUCUGGCGGGCAUGCCUGUCCGAGCGUCAUUUCAACCCUCGAACCCCUCCGGGGGGUCGGCGUUGGGGAUCGGCCCUUUCACCGGGUGCCGGCCCCUAAAUACAGUGGCGGUCUCGCCGCAGCCUCUCAUGCGCAGUAGUUUGCACACUCGCACCGGGAGCGCGGCGCGUCCUCGUCCGUAAAACACCCCAAACUUCUGAAAUGUUGACCUCGGAUCAGGUAGGAAUACCCGCUGAACUUAAGCAUAUCAAUAAGCGGAGGA
rnacentral:misc_RNA from 1 species